rnacentral:rRNA from 1 species
AUUGAACGCUGGCGGCAUGCCUUACACAUGCAAGUCGAACGGCAGCACGGGUGCUUGCACCUGGUGGCGAGUGGCGAACGGGUGAGUAAUACAUCGGAACGUACCUUAUCGUGGGGGAUAACGCAGCGAAAGCUGUGCUAAUACCGCAUACGCCCUGAGGGGGAAAGCGGGGGAUCGAAAGACCUCGCGCGAUUAGAGCGGCCGAUGCCUGAUUAGGUUGUUGGUGGGGUAAAAGCCCACCAAGGCGACGAUCAGUAGCUGGUCUGAGAGGACGAUCAGCCACACUGUGACUGAGACACGGGCCAGACUCCUACGGGAGGCAGCAGUGGGGAAUUUUGGACAAUGGGGGCAACCCUGAUCCAGCAAUGCCGCGUGAGUGAAGAAGGCCUUCGGGUUGUAAAGCUCUUUUGUCAGGGAAGAAACACCGGCUCUAACACAGUCCGGGAAUGACGGUACCUGAAGAAUAAGCACCGGCUAACUACGUGCCAGCAGCCGCCGUAA